rnacentral:rRNA from 1 species
UACGUAGGAUGCUAGCGUUGUCCGGAUUUACUGGGCGUAAAGAGCGCGCAGGCGGCACCUCAAGUACUCUCUGAAAUCCACCUGCUCAACGGGUGGGGUGGAGAGUAGACUGAGGAGCUAGAGAGAGGUAGAGGGGGGUAGAAUUGCUGGUGUAGCGGUGAAAUGCGUAGAGAUCAGCAGGAAUACCCGUGGCGAAGGCGGCCCCCUGGGCCUCUUCUGACGCCGAGGCGCGAAGGCUGGGGGAGCGAACGGG